rnacentral:rRNA from 1 species
GACGAACGCUGGCGGCGUGCCUAAUACAUGCAAGUCGAGCGAAGUUUUUCUGGUGCUUGCACUAGAAAAACUUAGCGGCGAACGGGUGAGUAACACGUAAAGAACCUGCCUCAUAGACUGGGACAACUAUUGGAAACGAUAGCUAAUACCGGAUAACAGCAUUAACUGCAUGGUUGAUGUUUAAAAGUUGGUUUUGCUAACACUAUGAGAUGGCUUUGCGGUGCAUUAGCUAGUUGGUGGGGUAAAGGCCUACCAAGGCGACGAUGCAUAGCCGACCUGAGAGGGUGAUCGGCCACACUGGGACUGAGACACGGCCCAGACUCCUACGGGAGGCAGCAGUAGGGAAUCUUCCGCAAUGGGCGAAAGCCUGACGGAGCAACGCCGCGUGAGUGAAGAAGGAUUUCGGUUCGUAAAGCUCUGUUGUUAGGGAAGAAUGAUUGUGUAGUAACUAUACACAGUAGAGACGGUACCUAACCAGAAAGCCACGGCUAACUACGUGCCAGCAGCCGCGGUAAUACGUAGGUGGCAAGCGUUGUCCGGAAUUAUUGGGCGUAAAGCGCGCGCAGGUGGUUUAAUAAGUCUGAUGUGAAAGCCCACGGCUCAACCGUGGAGGGUCAUUGGAAACUGUUAAACUUGAGUGCAGGAGAGAAAAGUGGAAUUCCUAGUGUAGCGGUGAAAUGCGUAGAGAUUAGGAGGAACACUAGUGGCGAAGGCGGCUUUUUGGCCUGUAACUGACACUGAGGCGCGAAAGCGUGGGGAGCAAACAGG